rnacentral:rRNA from 1 species
AUGGGGCAGCAGCGGCUGCGGGCGGCGAGGCCGGCCGGCCGUGGCUGCGUCAGGCAUAGGCAGGCGACGGUCGCGGCAGCCAGCACCAGUUGCAAACGGCGGCAGCAGGCGAGAAGCAGCAGCAGAGCAACAGUAGCAAAGGGAGCGGUACUGCAGCAGUCAGCACAGGCACGCGCACGCGAGCGGCAACAGGCGGGCGGGCAGGGGCACGCCGGGCGUGGCCCUGGCGAGCAGCGAGGGCGUGGUCGUGGGGUGAGGACGCGCAACAGGGAGGCGUGCAGGAUGCGGCCGGCAUUUAACCGCACACGCGCGCAGACGACGAUCUUCAGGAGCGGCGACGAUGAACGGGAAGGUAUUCUACAGGGACCAAAAGGAGCAGCGGUUCGAGCCAUUCGAACGAGGACACCACACUACGUCCGUAGAUGA